rnacentral:lncRNA from 1 species
CUACUUAAAAGCUUAGUAUCACUGAAGAAAUGAAAUUUAUGAUAAGUGAAUGAGAGAUAAAAGGGAAGAAGAGAAAUCCUUGAUAAAGGGAGAAACAAGUGAGGGGCUCUAACAACAUUGCUUGCUAGAUUUGGUCAACAGGUCUUAAUUUUCAAAAGUUAGCAUAUUGACGCAAACAUUAAUAUGAAAAAUUAUGUCAACAUGUCACAUGAUGUAUCAAGGUAUAUGUUAUGCAGCAAGGUUAAUGUUCAAGAGUUUCUCUUAAUAAGGGAUUGACUCUAUUUUUUUUUUCUGAUAAAUAAGAGUGGGCAUUAAAAAGCGCAACUAGCACACCAGAGUACACAAGUCAUUACAAUAAGGGAUUGAUCUAUUUUAACCCACUGCAUAUCCUCACUGGUUUUUACAUUAAAUUUGCAAUCUAAUCAUCUUCAAUUAUCUCCUCUUGUUCCUCCAUUCUACAUCUUAUCUCUACAAGCAGUCAUAUUCUCCGUUGACUCCUCAAUUUGAGAAUGCAAUUCAUCAUUUGCACAUUCCUUAAGAAAUUCAAUCUAAAGGAUGCUUACUUUUU